CAGAAAGGAACAACAAGAAAUAAGAAAGCCCGUCUAUAUGCCUAGAAGCCACAGCAUUAAAUCAAGUAUACAAUGUCAAAUAAAACAAUUCUCUAAACUGCUCUGUUGUCCAUGUCUGAUCAUCAAAACAGCGACUAUUUUAUUUUCUUCACACACCAUAUGAUGCAACCUGAAAUAAGGUCUCAUAUAAGCUUGCUAUCCUUAUCGCGAAAUUUUCUCCUCCAUGUCUUUAACACGUCUUCCAUACGCCUCGACAACACCCAAUCUGCCUAAUUUAGCCAUAAAACUACCUGAUGUCAAACUGAAAAGCUAUAAAAAAAACUAACCCAGUUCGGGUCUAUUGGUUUAUUUGGGUUUACCUUUAGAAUGCCACCCUAACGAAAACUAUAAACUUACAUAGAUAAAGAAAUUAAUCCCCUAAAAUUCCUCGAACAAUCAAUUUUAUAAAUCAAAUAAUUACCCUGAUACUCUCUAAUCAAUCAAUCACAAAAAUCAGGAAAUUAAUCCCCUAAUGGUCUUUAAUAUACUCUUCAAUCAGGGAAUCAACAAAUUCUUCAAUGUAUAAUAAAAUUCAGUAAAUUUAAUGGCCCAACAUCUGUUCAGAUUCUAGAUUCAUAAAAAUAAAGAUUCAACCUGAAAUGCAUUAACACAAUUUUAUUUUAAGUGAGCCAGCCAAAAAUAAUGAGAAAUAAAGUACAGAAAAUAAUCAACAAUAUUUCAUUUUGGUGCACAAUAUUAUGUUGAUAGACUUUCAAAAAAUUGUCCCAACAUAGUAAAAAUCUCAAGG
rnacentral:lncRNA from 1 species